GGGGUUGUAGCUCAGUGCUAGAGCACUUGCUUAGUAUGUGUGAGGCCCUGGGUUCCAUCCCCAGCACCACA
rnacentral:tRNA from 1 species